rnacentral:rRNA from 1 species
UACGUAGGGGGCUAGCGUUGUCCGGAAUCAUUGGGCGUAAAGAGCGUGUAGGCGGCCCGGUAAGUCCGCUGUGAAAGUCGGGGGCUCAACCCUCGAAUGCCGGUGGAUACUGUCGGGCUAGAGUGCGGAAGAGGCGAGUGGAAUUCCUGGUGUAGCGGUGAAAUGCGCAGAUAUCAGGAGGAACACCAGUAGCGAAGGCGGCUCGCUGGGCCAUUCCUUACGCUGAGACGCGAAAGCUAGGGGAGCGAACAGG